CGUGCCGUUCAGAGGUUUGCUGCACGCGUGUUGCAGCGGGAUCUUCAAGUUUGAUCUGUUGAUACAACAAAUGAUCCUCUGAUGACAAACAGCAGGAUGUGGCCAUACUUCCGUUUAUGGACUGCUGUUAAUCUGCUCGCGGCAGCUGUUACUUUCUGGCACAAUCGUAUUGCUACUUGAAUUCAGAACCGACUCUAAUCUGAAAUAAUUUUCAAGACAGAACGUGCUUAUAAUGUUAAUAGGAAUGCAUAUAUACACAUCUUACUGUUUAUUUCUUUGGUUAAUGGGGAGUUGCUCGCUCCCACUAACCACUUUUGAUUCCACUAGGUUACAUGAUUGAUAAGAGCCGGCAACAUUUUGUCAUACAA